rnacentral:rRNA from 1 species
CUACGGGGUGCAGCAGCCGAGGAAAUUUUACAAUGCACGCAAGUGUGAUCGAGUAAACUAGAGUGUUUCUCCUUGAGAAACUUUUAUUUGCUGUAAAAAUGCAGAUGAAUAAGGACUGGGCAGAGACCGGUGCCAGCCGCCGCGGUAAUACCGGCGGUCCAAGUCGCAUCCACAUUUAUUGGGUCUAAAACAUUCGUAGCUUGGUUGAUAAGUUUCUUGUGAAAUCUCAUAUCUCAAGUAUGAGGCGUGCAAGAAGUACUGUUGAACUGGAGACCGGAAGACGCAAAGAGUACGAUUGAGGUAGCGGUAAAAUGCUUUAAUCUUAAUCGGACUAACAACGGCGAAGGCACUUUGCGAGUACGGAUCUGACAGUGAGGGAUGAAGGCUAGGGGCGCAAAAGGGAUUAGAUACCCGUGUAGUC